rnacentral:tRNA from 1 species
GGGGAUUUAGCUCAGCGGCAUAAGCGCCUGCCUUGCAAGCAGGAAGUCGUAAGUUCGAUCCCUG